UGGGGCUUGGUAGGACUCAGACUCAUAAACCAUGAGAUCAUGACCUGAGCCGAAGUCAGAUGCUUAACGACUGAGCCACCCAGGUGCUCCAGAAAAAAGUAGUCUUUAGGGGACAUUAGUUAGUCCAGAUUGGCUGGAGAGUAGCAUCUAUGAAGGAGAGUACUAUAAAAUUAGGCAUAAAAGAUUGAGGAAAGAUGAGGGAAGGCCUCAAUGCCAGGCUAAAAAAUUUAGACUUCACUUUGUAGUCAAUAAGUUGUUCUUGCAGGUUUUGACCAAGGGAGGACAUGACCUGAGCUUUGCUUCAGGAAGAUUAAUCUCACAGUGUGUACACAAUCCCAGAUAGAGGAGACUUUGCAAUUGUUCACGAGAAGGGAUUAGGGUCUGCAUUGUGGAUGUAGAAUCAAUAGGACUUACAGUUCAGGGGGAGGGAGGGAAGGAAAGAGAAAAGUCAGAGGUAUGUCCAUGUUUUGAGUGUGGGUAAUGAGGAGCCUGGUGGUGCCAUUAUCAUAAAAUAUAUGGCAGUCAGAAGGAGGGUCAGUGCUAGGGGGUGAUGAAUGACGGGGGUAGUUGACUCUUUCAAGUGCUGGGCAAGGCGCUACACUUCACAGUACUCCAGGAACCAAAGACUUCUUUUCUCUACACACUUGUUUCAGAUCUGUCCAUUUUAUAGAUGAACUCUCUGGUGCCUAAAGAAAUAAAAUGAUUUGCCUAAGGUUACACAGUGACUCCUUGGUGGAUUCCAAGUCUGAGAACCUAAGUUUCUUGUUUUUUAGCUAUUAAGCAUCCUACAAAGCUGGGCUUUCACUGUAGGAAAAGUAGAGAGUCUUGGAGAUAGAAAAAUCUGGGUUCAACUCCAGGCUUUGCCAUUUUCUGCUUAUAAAAUCUUGAAAAGUUUCCCUUUUCUCUCUGAGCCUUAGUUUCCAAAUUU